GUCUCUCUCAGGACAUUUGAUAAAAUAAAAACGACACAUAGAAGAUUAGCACCUUUCUUUAUAGGGAUGAUACGCAACAAAAAAAACAAGAUACUAUUUUU